GCCAGCAUAGUGUAAUGGUUUAAGUGUUGGACUAUGACUCUGGAGACCAGGGUUCAAAUUCCUGCUCAGCCG